AGCGUAGCUGAACAUCUUACGGAUGGCCCAGGGCUCCAAAGGCUCGUUUCCUAAGUGAGAGAGAGCCUGGCUGAAGCUGUAUUACCAUUCAUUCUCCAGCCUCCGAAGUCUCAAAGCAUCACUUCCACCAUACUCUAACUGUCAAGACAAACACAAAGGCCCAGACAUUACAUGUAAAUGGAAUCAUACAAUAUGUGAUCUUUUGUGACUGGCUUCUUUCACUUAGCAUAACGUUUUCAAGGUUUGUUCGUGUUGUAGCAGAAACUGCCAGACUGUCUUCUGAAGUGGCUAUAAUAUUUACACUCCCAUCAGCAGUGUAGAAGGGGUCUCACUAUGUUGUCUGGAGUGCUGUGGUGGAGUGGAGUGGCUAUUCACAGCUGAGUUUGCAGAGUAAACCACUACCCUGAAAUCUGGAAAGGCAGGUGCACCCACAGAUCCUCAGCUGAGAUCCAAUUACCUGAAAUAGAAGCUGCCAUUAGGAACACUUAAAAGAGCCUGUUCUGCUGGGACACAGAAUCACUUGCUCCAUCUCAUACAUUGAUGAUGAUUAAUUUGUAUGUGUACCUUCCAAAAAAGAUGGUUGUGUUUGAAUGGAGGCCUUCUGGACAGGAAAAUAUGGAGAGUGCGUGCUUUGGAUUCAAGACUGGGAAUGAGGGGACCAGAAACCUAUUCUGUGGCUGUUUCUUGUUAGGACUUUCCUAAGCCUCUGGAAAAGUGCAAAGUACAAUUAACAUUUGAGUCUGUCUGAGUCAUGAAGAAAUGGAGAUUACUGAAAAUAAUUCAUUUUGGUAUCUUCUUACAUCCUGAGAGACUAAUCUUUCCAAGUUCAUCUGAGGCUCCUCUUCUCCAUGACAACCUCAUCCAGGGAUUUCUUCCUGUCCUGGUGUUUUAUGACAUGUGGAAGGGGACUGUAGCAGGUGAUCUCCAAAGUCUCUGGAGACUUACUAAUGUGCAUCCUCAUCUCGCUUGUAAGGAUAAUAGCCUUCCUCCAAACCUCACACACUUUUGGAGGAGAUCACUUUUUUUAAAGUGCAUGGAAAUGUUUUGAAACAGUGAAAUCUAUAAUGAUAGGUUUCAUAAUUCUAACAUCCACACCAUAUGAAUCACAUCCUUCCUGAGAUAAUGAGCACACAAUUGCCUGGAUACCUGAAGGAAUGGAGACAGCGGCAGAAAACACUGCAGAGAGGUGGAAACAUCCGUUAAUAUUUUAAAAUCCCAUUACUGCUACCAACAAUAAUAAUGGAUGCAUAGAAAUAGAUCUGGAUUAGCUGAGCUUGAAACAGUCCAUCUCACACACACACAAAAGAAUUUCAGAUACAGUGAACCCACAUGUUGAAGCUUUCUAGUAUAAUAAAAAUUUCAACUGUUCUGUUGAAUCAUCUGCCUGAUUGGAGGCUACAGAAAAGAUGUCAUCUUAGGAGUGCUUGCUCUGAGUGAGGCUCAUCUUCAAAUCUGAAUGACCACAAGGAGAUUUGAUUAUACAUGUGAACACCUCAGAAGGCACAGCCCACCCAGAAGGCAGACAGGUCAGGCUGCUUUUUCUUCAUUGCUUGGAUUCAAUCCUCCGGGCGGCUCAGGCUCAAACAUAACUUAAGCAUGAUUAAACUUUAGAAGAAGCUGCCAGGAAGACUGUGAAAUCUUCAUGCCCAAGGAUCCCUAAAAUUAGGAGCAACAACCACUUGGCUCAGACGGUUUAUGGAGGCAAAGGUUUGGAUGGGAUUAGAGAUUUCUAAAUGUGAGUUCGUGUCCUCUGCCAGACCACCUUACUUCCACCAUUCCUCAGCAAAUCAAGAAAAACAGGAGAAAAGACAUGCCUUUCCAUAAGUUAAAUCUAUUCUGUUUUAAUUCUAUAUUAUAUCUGCUGUACAACUUCUUUUGUUUGUAACACCAUAUUGUUGCUAGUAACUGGAAAUUAAUUUUCACAUGCCUCAGCUUAGAAAAAUAAAAA
ensembl:lncRNA LINC00635 long intergenic non-protein coding RNA 635